rnacentral:lncRNA from 1 species
GGAAGUUGCUCCCGACACCCUUUGCGCCACCGGAAGUCUCGCUCCCUAGGCCCCAGCCUCCUUCCGAGAUCGACUUCCGGGUAUGGCUGCCGCCCUUCCCCCACCCGUGGCGGCGGGAACCACCUGUACUCACUGCCAGUCAUUGCCGCCAGCAGCUUCCUCCUCUAGGUGUCUCGGCACGGGCCCGGGGACUCCUGUGCCUUCCACAGGGGCUGUAACGAGGCUAGCGCGCGCUUCGCGGUACCUGAGUGUCCACAGCAAUUGCCCCAGGGCUGGGCGACUGACCAGGAAAGGCUGGACGGGUAGACAGACCAGGGUGGGUCAUUCUGUCCUUCGGAGCCACCGGAGGCUUCAAAACAUCCGUCCACGUUUGGGGGCAAGGGAGCGCUGCAUAUUACUAGUAUUUCGUGAUUCUUUUAGAACGCUGAAUUGAGAUUGAAAGCGAGAGGAAAGGGCCCUGGACUCGGGAAUGGAAGGGUCUUCCUUUGUAGUUCAGGCUGGCCCUGAACUCACUAUGUAGACCAGGCUGGUUUAGAACUCUCGAGAUCCUCCUGCCUCAGCCUCCUGAGUGCUGAGAUUACAGGCGUGCAACACCACGCCUGGCUCUAGAGCAUUUUAAGUAACUGGUUUUUACUUCUUUACAGAGUCACUAGUAAUACCAACGAGUGCUGGGUUCUUCACAGAAAUUGCAUUAUUUUUGAAAACCAAUAUUUUUCUAUACUGUCAUGUGGAAGAAGAGACUAUGUUAUAAAUGGUGGGGUGUUGGAAUUUCUAAAAAUAAACCCUAAACCAUUUAAAUCCUUUUGGGCACUUUAGUUCAUCAGGUUAAUUGAUCAUGAACAUUAAAUGCCAACUGGCUUGAUUGGAAUGUUUUCUUAAAACAUUUGGUUUCCAGGAGACCUUACAAUUUAUUGCUUUUUCUGUUUCUUUCUGAGGUGCUGAAUAUCAGACCCCAGGCUACAAACAUACCAGACAACCACUCUACCACUGAGCAAAGCCCCCAGCUCUGGAUUAUUUCUUCAUUUAAUAUUUUUUCUAGGACAUUUACUUGGUUCUUUAACUUUUAAAGCUCAGACACCUGUUUUUUAAUGUUACUGAGUUUAGUCAGGACCAAAUUUCUUUGAUAAAAAUGGUGUUUUAAGUGUGGAGUGGUAGCAUAUACCUGUAAGCCCAGCACCAGGAAGGCUGAGGCAGGAGGAUUAUGACAUUGGAUCAUGAAACCAAGCUGAACUACAUUGUGAGAACCUGUCUCAGAACAUAUAAGCAAACAAUAUUUUAAAGUUUUCUUAAAAAUAUGAAUGUGCCCAGAUGUUGUGCAUGGCUGUAAUCCCAGCUGCUUUGGAGGAUGAGGCUAGAGGCUCCCCACUUUGAGGCUAGCCUAGGCAAUUUAUUGAGACCCUGCCUCAAAAUUUAAAAAAUAAAUAAAAAAUACAUUUUUUAAAAAGGGGGCUAGGGCUGUAACUCUGGACUAGGGAUAGAGAGUAGUAUGCUCAAGAUCUUGGGUUCAAUCUCCAACACUGCAAAAGAAAGUGAAGCUGUUGGCUCAUCUAUCUAGCAAAAAUUGUCCCCAGAGUUGUCACAUUGUCAAUGACCCAAACCUUAUCCCUUCUGAAAAAAAAUUUUUUUUGCUUUUUGAUAUAAUAUUUCUUAUUUAUAGACUUCAGCAAUACAAAUCAGUAGAACAUGCAUGUUAAAUUGUUAUUUUACCAAUAGGUUAUUACUACAGGGUUCUGUGGUAGUAUAAAUAGCAUGAAACAGUAAAAGAGACUUUGGUUCCAGUCUCAGAUUUUAUCCUUGUAGCCCCAGGGCCAGCACAGUAACAAGCACAUGACAGGCACUCAACAAAUAUCACUGACUUUGAAAGUGUAUGAAGACCUUUAAGGAUAGUAAAGAACAAAGACAGAGGCCAUGGUGAUCCUUACCUGUAAUCUCAGCUGCUUGGGUGGCUGAAAAAGGGUUUGUGGGUUUGAGGCCAGCCUGGGUAACAGUGAGAGUAUGUCUCAAAAAUAAAAAAACAAAGCAAAGAAGAAAGUAUGUCAGGAAAGACUUGAAAGAACCCAAGAAACAUAGUGUAAGAUGAAGGAGAGCCUUGUCAGGGAGAGCCUUGCAAGAAGGUGAGAUACACUGGGUAUGGUUGGUGCAUGCCUGUAAUCCCAGCAUUUAGGAGGCUAAGGUAGGACUAUCACUGCAAGUUUGAGGCCAGGCUGAUUCAGAGCAAGACCCUGCCUCAAAAAAAAAAAAAAAAAAAAAGGAUGAGAUACCACAGACAGGCAUUGUUGGAAGAGGAUCAAAAAUAGUGUUACUGAAUUAAAAGGUCAAGAGGAGAGAGUGGAAAAUCAACAUGGAAGGAAUUAAAGAAGAAUGAGAAGAAUUGGAACCAGGUGCCAAGAUAUUGUUACCAGUUACUUAUUGCCACAAAGCUGCUGCCUAAGAAGCUACCCCAAAGGGGAUCGAACUCGGGUCCUUGUGCUUACGCAGCGGGCAGCAAAACCACUGAGCUAAAUCCCUGGCCCUAGCUCAAUUCUGAUGAUGGAAGAAAGGGAGAAUGGAUGUGGGGACAACUAGUCAUCUGCUACACUGAUACAUAGGCAUGCUGCUGGAACUAUAACUAGGUUCAGUUUUUUGAAAGGAACUUUGGCAAUAAGUACCAAAAGCCAGAAUAACAUACCUGUGUUCUGACUUCAGAGGAACUUAAGAAAGUAAAGUAUAUGUACGAAGAUUUAGUUAUAAGAAUGUUCAUGGCAUAUUUAUGUUAAUAGCAGAAAAACUGAAGGCCAUCUCAAAUAUUUCAUUGCUUACUUUGGACAAGAUACUUAUAUGUGUCCAUGGAUACCAAAUGAUGAUAUCAUCACAGCUAUGAGGCCAGGAACCAUAAUCCCUAAGUGUUAUAGGUCUCCAUUCAAUGUUUUAUCUGUAGUCAAUGAGUGCCUAUAAUAUGCAUUACCCUGUUCUAAUAUUUUGAUAUGCCUUAUUUCCUUAUUUUGCCUAAUCAGUCUGGUAAGGGAGACAUUCAUAUAAACAUAAAUGGAGGCUCUGAAAGUUUAAGGAACUUAUUUAAAGUCAAACAGUGAAUGAGUGAUAAAUUUGAAUUCAGUUUUGUCCAGUUCUUGUCACUCUCCUUGUGCUUUUCUUCUCUUUUGUCUGGCCCAGCACAGCUGAUGAGUGGAGCAGGUCACUAGGGAAAAAGCAGUGUGCACAUCAUAGGGCAACUGGAGAAACAACCAUCUUGUCAGCAGAAUUCAUGGGGAAAGUACCCAGCCCUGAACACACUUGAAAUACUGUAGGUAGAAAGGGGGAAAUUAUAAAAGAAAUAGGGCCAUCUCACUGAGCUAAGGCAGGAAUGUAAGCAAUGAGGCAUCAGAGUUGGUGUGAAAAGGAAAGGUCAGCACUCUGUUUCUCAUUUCAUUUUUCCCCUCAGCAUCUGGCUUUCUGAGUUAUUUGAGCCAUAUGGCAGCUGGCAGAUGGCAACCAUAGCUUCCAUAUUUACUUUGUACAAUUUCGGCCACAUGGAAAGAUUCAUUAUUAGCCAGCCUGGACUACAUAGUGAGAUCUUGUGUCAAAAAAGAAAAAAGUUAUGUGCCAGAAAUGUGUUGAAGGGUAGCCUUGAACCAAUUCAGUUCUCCUCCCCUUUCAUGCUUGUAGUUCCUAAGAAUAACCAUAAAAUGUUCUUGAGUGGCAAUAUCAUUAGAUUGAGAGGAAACUAUUUGAAAUCAUCUGGACCUUGUUCCUGUCCCUUCUAGGGAGUGUAACAUCUUGAGAUAGGGAGGAACUGCUCAGGGUAGCAGUUUUAUUCCUCUUUCCCCUAUAAGCAACCUGUCCUUCAAAGCUUUGCCCUGAGCUGGCAGUAAGCUCAGUCAUAGAGUGUGAGUUUUGUAUACACAAGGCCCUGGGUUCAAUCUUCAGCACCAGGAAAAAAGUUUUACCUAUCAAAUCUGUUGCCCCUGAGUAUAUGACCUGUGACAGGUGCCUUUUGGGGUGCCUCAGCCGCAGUGCAGUUGGAGCAUAAGAAGUCAAGACUCCAUCUCUCCAGGGCAGCUUUCUUUCUUGCCCCCCCCCCACAGUAUUGGGAAUUAAACCCAUGGCCUUUGCAUGGAGCUAUAUCCUCAGUCUUUUUACUUUUUAUUUUUGAGACGGGGUCUUGCUAAGUCACUAAAUCGCCCAGGCUGGGCUUGAAUUUACAAUCCUCCUGCCUCAGCCUCCCAGAAUGCUGGGAUUACAAGCACAUACCACCACACCCAGCUAGGGCACAGCUUUCUUAAGCCUUGGGGUCCCGAUGAAGUUUAGGCUUCUUUUGUCCCUUGCAGCUUACCUCUAAGUAAUAAAUCUGUUUCUUAUAAUCUGUUGUAUGUAAAUUAUGUGUCAUUGGAUUCAGGCAAUUGGUAAAAUUGCAGCUCAUGAUGCAGGAUGUGCAAGCGUUCAGACUCCUAUUCCUAUGGCCAGCAUAGUGAAGAUCUUUGCUCUUCAUGCAUUUAGAGUCCUCCCUUGGUUAUCAGUGAACCUGAUCUACUUCAUAAGUGCAGUGCUGGAUCCUGGCAGGAUUGAUCCUUCUCCCUUGGGGAAAGCAAAUGUGCUGAGGGGCAAUCAGGGAUAUGAUUUUCUAGCUAUACAGGUGUACUUUCUUGAUGCAUCUUUUGACCUUGAUGGUCAAAUUAAAAGAGAAUUGAAAAAAAUAUUGGUUUCUUUUUGUCUGUGGUACAUCAUCCCCUAGAACAAUAGGUAGCUAUUUUUCUCUACAACUGACAAUGAUCAAGUUUGUUCAAAAGAAUUGAUUCUACUCCCUUAACAUCUUAACUGAUACAGUUGUAACAAGUUUAUAUGCUUAUAAAUAGGCUAAUUCAAAUAAUCUAUUCACUGAAAGAGUUUCACUGAAGAAAUAAAUAUUUUAUGGUAUUUGUGGUACCAUUUAUUGGGAAAUAAGUUUGUUUUAUCCCCAGAAACAUCCAGUCUUCUUGUAAUGCACAUUAGCACUGGAAAAAAGAGAACAGAAGAGACUCACAGAGAUAAAGGUGCCUACAUUUCUCAGACAGGCAGAGACAAAGGUAACUUGCUUUUUUAGUAAUCAAAAUGAGUCCAGCCCUCACCCUCCUUUAAAAAAAAAAACCAGGUAAAGCAACAUGUAGACACUGACUUAUUUUUCCUGAUUAUGACCAAAGUCAGCAAAAAAGAUAAUGAAAUCAGUGCCCUAGAACUCCUGGAUUCUAUGACAGCACAUCACUGGCUGGGAACAGGAUCAAAAUCCAUUUCUAGGAUCAUCUCUUAGGCUCUCAUCCCACUGCAGCAUAGUACCUCUUAGGCACUCCAUGAAUUGCCAUUAGCUCACAUCCUCUUAAGACAGGCAGAUUCUCUCUCCCAAGAGUAUCAGCUUAGAAGUUCUUUUACUCCUGCAAGCUCCAGGUGGAAGGACAGCAGCAUCUUUCAGUUUAGUUGACAGUGGAGUCCCAGAUGCUGUUUGAAGGCCACUCCAGAGAGGACUGAGUGAUUGGGUGGAAAGACUGCUCACCACGCACUCCCCUGCCUACCACUAUAUUCACCCCACUGGAGGUGUGGAGGACCCCUAACUGCAAAGAGGCUGGGUCACUGCAGGUCGCCGUGUAAACCUAUUCUCUGAUAGCAUAUGUUCCUGUGCAAAGAGCUGCAUUCACAUUAGCACUGGAGUCUCAGAAAGAACACAUGUUCACAUUCUGUAUUCCCCAGUGGGUAAUAUUUAUCAUAAAAAUCUAAAAUAUACUUUUUAGUCUGGAAUCUGAUCUUCUGCUGCAGCAGCACAGUAUAGUGGGAUUGCUGGCUGAGACCUGAAGGGUUACAUCCCUGCCUAUGCAGUUCUGAAUCAGAUAAUAGACCAGUGGUGGUGAACCUUUUACAGUUUUUUUGGUACUGGGGAUUGAACUCAGGACCUUACACUUGCAAGGCAGGCACUCUGCCACUGAGCUAAAUCCCCGGUCCUACAAUUUUCAAUGAUACAAACCACACACUGUGGCACACAUGCCAUAGGUUUGCUACCACAGUGAUAGAUCACAAAAGCAAUCUCUGUUCUUCUCCAUUCAGGUGGACAAACAGAAAUGAAAUGUAAGCUUCCUUGUAUUUCACAUUAGGUACCAUGAAGCCAAAGGCAAUGCAGACAACUGGGAUACUGCAGACACUUGGGCAAGUCAUUGCCAGGCCAGAAAAACUCCUGGCACAUAGAGUUGAUCAUCGGGAUUUGAUUUGGGUGGAGAUAGAAGUAAUGGAAAAGUACAUGAGGCUCUUGAGCAGGGGAUAACAGAUUUGUGACAGGAGCUGUGGUUUGGGUGGCUUUAUCUCAGAAUCAUGCCUGAUACAGGCUUUAAGACCUGCGAAGCAUAAGGGCUGACAAUCUUUGGUCCACAGUCAUAUCUUCCAAUCCCACCAAACUAUAAAACUUAGUGGCCUGGUGCCACAAUCUUUUCCUGGGUGGCAAGUCUGGUAUUGGUGGAGGAUCCUGAAGUCUUGGCAGGUCAUCUGGUGCAUGGUUUGUCCAUAUGGAACUAUGGAAACUUCUCCUUUGGCUCUAUAAGUCCCACUGACUAACAGAAAAGCAAUGUUAACAAUCUGAUCAAGUCAAAAAGUGGUUAUGCCACAUCAUUUUUCAGACAAUCAGUUGUCUGACAAUUUCCAAUUCAGUCUCCAAGCUUUCUGUGCCAUAGCAACUGCAUUAGGAUAAUCCUUCCACUUUGCUGAAGAGUAGCUUUUCUUCAUAGAUGGGCACAGGAGUAUACUUGGGCCCUUUAGGUGUCCCCCUCCUCCCCAGUACUGGGAUCAAACUCAGGAGCUUACACUUGCCAGGCAGGCAUGGCACCACUGAGCUACAUCCCUGUCCCGGGUUUUUUGAGGUUUUUGCAUCCUUCUCUAGGGGAUGCUUCUUCUUUUCUCAAACCCUUGUUUGCAAAGACAUAUUUGAAUCUGUCUUUGCUAUCCGUGUCCAUCCUGUUGGGCUUUUCAUCCUUGCUCUCUAUCUCCACCUUUAUCUAUUCAAGGGCUCUGAUCUUCUUUCUGCCUCCAACUAUUAG